rnacentral:lncRNA from 1 species
AGCUCGGGGCAGGGUGGGCGCGAGAGAGCCUAGAAGCCCAUGUAGCCGCGAAUCCCGCAGCCCCAGUACACCUCCCUCCGUGCCUCCCCGCCUUUUCUGCAGAGCUCCGCCCUGGAGUGAAGGAGGAGCCGUCACCUGGAGCUCCGAAAAAAGCAGAAGAAGAUAAAACUCUGCAAAGACAAUGUCUAGCACUUAUAUCUCCAGUAACUCCUGUCAAGGUUUAUUGUUGCUUGUUCAUCAUUGCAGUCCUGACUACAAGUGUGAUUGCACUUUCUAUUGUUUUGUCAGAAUUUCCUGAAAAGAUACAAAGGCCCUUCUGACCAUUGGAUUGGCCUUAGAAGAGAAUCAUCCCAUCGCAUUUGGAAAUGGACAGACAACAUGGAAUAUAAUAACAUUUUUCACACAUUUACAAAACAAUUUGGGAGGAGGCUGGAAAUCAUCUUGACUGAAGACCACCAAUGGCAGCAGUUCAUUUGGGUACAGCAGCAAGCAUCAGUUAAAUACCUAUCAACAUAGCUGGGCUUGGCUUGCUAUCAGAGGAAGUGGAGAAUGUGCCUUCCUGAAUGACAAUGGAGUCAACAGUGGCA